rnacentral:lncRNA from 1 species
GUUUAUGCCUUUAACAAAAGGUCAGCUCAGAAGGACCCAGAGAGCACAGGCGGUGUUGGAGUAGCUCUGCUGUGCUAGGCGCGCUCUCAGGCGCGCCUCCCGGGUCUGCUCGCCCCACACGCAGUGUCCCAGGGCUUGCCCGCAGUCGGCGGGGAUGGGAGUCAUUCGCGGGCCAGGUGUGGCCACACCAAAGACUCUCUGGACCCUUCCCACCGCUAGAACUCUGUCGAGCCUCCUUUAGCCUCAUAAUUGCUGCCCUUAAGUUUCUCUUUUCAAGUCUCACAUCACGCAUUUUAAGCCUGGCCGGCCUCAGUGACUUGGUUGACCAAAUGAAUGUGGCAGAUGUGAUGUUUGGGGACCCCUGAAGUCAGGUCAUCAGAAGCC